GUCAGGAUGGCCCAGUGGUCUAAGGCGCCAGACUCAAGUUCUGGUCUUUGUAAGAGGGCGUGGGUUCAAAUCCCACUUCUGACA
rfam:Solanum tuberosum cultivar DM 1-3 516 R44 scf00159_30, whole genome shotgun sequence.